rnacentral:rRNA from 1 species
GUGAGGAAUUUUCCUCAAUGGGCGAAAGCCUGACGGAGCAAUGCCGCGUGAAGGAUGACGGCCUAUGGGUUGUAAACUUCUUUUCUUAGAGUAAAAUAUUGACGGUAUCUGAGGAAUAAGCAUCGGCUAACUCUGUGCCAGCAGCCGCGGUAAGACAGAGGAUGCAAGCGUUAUCCGGAAUGAUUGGGCGUAAAGCGUCUGUAGGUGGCUUCAAUAGCCUCCUGUCAAAGAUCAGGGCUUAACCCUGGGCCGGCAGGAGAAACUCUGAGGCUAGCGUUUGGUAGGUGCAAAGGGAAUUCCCGGUGGAGCUGUGAAAUGCGUAGAGAUCGGGAAGAACACCAAAGGCGAAAGCACUCUGCUGGGCCACAACAGACACUGAGAGACGAAAGCGAGGGGAGCAAAAGGGAUUAGAAACCCGAGUAGUCC